UACGUAGGGGGCAAGCGUUGUCCGGAUUUAUUGGGCGUAAAGAGCGUGUAGGCGGCCUGAAAGGUCAGCUGUGAAAACUCGAGGCUCAACCUCGAGACGUCGGUUGAAACCAUCUGGCUAGAGUCCGGAAGAGGAGUGUGGAAUUCCCGGUGUAGCGGUGAAAUGCGCAGAUAUCGGGAGGAACACCUAUUGCGAAGGCAGCUCGCUGGGACGUCACUGACGCUGAGACGCGAAAGCGUGGGGAGCGAACAGG
rnacentral:rRNA from 1 species